rnacentral:rRNA from 1 species
UACAGAGGUCCCAAGCGUUGUUCGGAUUCACUGGGCGUAAAGGGUGCGUAGGUGGUGAGGUAAGUCGGAUGUGAAAUCUCCGAGCUCAACUCGGAAAUGGCAUUGGAAACUACCUUGCUCGAGGGUUGGAGGGGGGACUGGAAUGCUUGGUGUAGCAGUGAAAUGCGUAGAUAUCGAGAGGAACACCGGUGGCGAAGGCGGCCUUCUGGACAGUGACUGACGCUGAGACGCGAAAGCGUGGGGAGCAAACAGG